CAUCUCCCCUGGCUUCCCUUUAGAACGCACAGCCUCGUUCCCUCUUUACUUUCAAGUAACUGAUGAUCCGACUGCUAAAAUUGUACCUGGCUCUCUGUCCCCAGGCCGGGCAACCUCGUGUUCCAGAGGGCGUUGUCUGGUGCCUCAGGCACAACUGGGUAUUCUGGGUGGCAUGAAGGAUGAAGGAUGAAAUAAUCCAACUGCAGUAGAACUGCAGAGAUCCAUUUACAAAGAAGACGUUAAAAGUAAACCGACGGGAUAUCGGAUUGUGAAGAGAGAUUCCUGUACAGAUCUCUUUCCCAUAAGUCGUACCAUGUUUUGAAACAA